rnacentral:rRNA from 1 species
CAGUCGCCGCGGGAAUACGUAGGCGGCAAGCGUUGUCCGGAAUUAUUGGGCGUAAAGGGCUCGCAGGCGGUUUCUUAAGUCUGAUGUGAAAGCCCCCGGCUCAACCGGGGAGGGUCAUUGGAAACUGGGAAACUUGAGUGCAGAAGAGGAGAGUGGAAUUCCACGUGUAGCGGUGAAAUGCGUAGGGAUGUGGAGGAACACCAGUGGCGAAGGCGACUCUCUGGUCUGUAACUGACGCUGAGGAGCGAAAGCGUGGGGAGCGAACAGGAUUAGAUACCCCUGUAGUCCCUGUCUCUUAUAC